rnacentral:rRNA from 1 species
UAACACAUGCAAGUCGAACGGAAACGGCAGAAACAAUCCCUUCGGGGUGCGUUUUUGGACGUCGAGUGGCGGACGGGUGAGGAAUACAUAGGAAUCUACCCAGUAGCGGGGGACAACUUGGGGAAACUCAAGCUAAUACCGCAUACGCCCUACGGGGGAAAGCGGGGGACCUUCGGGCCUCGCACUAUUGGAUGAGCCUAUGUCUGAUUAGCUUGUUGGUGGGGUAACGGCCUACCAAGGCGACGAUCAGUAGUUGGUCUGAGAGGACGAUCAGCCACACUGGGACUGAGACACGGCCCAGACUCNUACGGGAGGCAGCAGUGGGGAAUAUUGCACAAUGGGCGAAAGCCUGAUGCAGCAAUGCCGCGUGUGUGAAGAAGGCCUGCGGGUUGUAAAGCACUUUCAGUAGGGAGGAAACAGUAACGGGUUAAUACCCCGAUACCUUGACGUUACCUACAGAAGAAGCACCGGCUAACUCUGUGCCAGCAGCCGCGGUAAUACAGAGGGUGCGAGCGUUAAUCGGAAUUACUGGGCGUAAAGCGCGCGUAGGCGGCCUGGUCAGUCGGAUGUGAA